AAUAAUAUUUAGCCUUACGGUCGUCUUUUUACAAGACGGGUAACAGGGAAAUCGGUGUGAAUCCGAUGCAGUCACCUCUGCUGUAACGUGGACGUGGAAGCAAAAAUGCCAUUGGUGGGCAAUCCGCUGAGAAGGCGCUUCCACGGAUGAAACGAAGUCAGAAUAUCUGCCGUAAAGCUGUGCUAGAA
rnacentral:ncRNA from 2 species